rnacentral:rRNA from 1 species
UACGGAGGGGGCUAGCGUUGUUCGGAAUUACUGGGCGUAAAGGGCGCGCAGGCGGCUGCUCAAGUCAGGCGUGAAAGGCCUGGGCUCAACCCGGGAAUUGCGCUUGAGACUGGGCUGGCUUGAGUGCGGGAGAGGGAUGCGGAAUUCCAGGUGUAGCGGUGAAAUGCGUAGAUAUCUGGAGGAACACCGGUGGCGAAGGCGGCAUCCUGGACCGGUAUUGACGCUGAGGCGCGAAAGCCAGGGGAGCAAACGGG